CGCCUUGCCAGCCCGCUCAGAAACUUAAAUGAAUUGACGGGGGCCCGCACAAGCGGAGGAGCAUGUGGUUUAAUUCGAUGAUACGCGAGGAACCUUACCUGGGCUCGAACGUAAGAUGACUGUAGGUGAAAGCUUACAUCUCUUCGGAGCAUUUUACGAGGUGCUGCAUGGUUGUCGUCAGCUCGUGCCGUGAGGUGUCGGGUUAAGUCCCAUAACGAGCGCAACCCCUACCUUUAGUUGCCAUCAGGUCAAGCUGGGGACUCUAAUGAAACUGCCUACGCAAGUAGUGAGGAAGGUGGGGAUGACGUCAAAUCAGCACGGCCCUUACGUCCAGGGCUACACACGUGCUACAAUGGCCGGUACAAAGGGCAGCUACCUGGUGACAGGAUGCUAAUCUCAAAAGCCGGUCUCAGUUCGGAUCGGAGUCUGCAACCCGACUCCGUGAAGUUGGAAUCGCUAGUAAUCGUGGAUCAGCAUGCCACGGUGAAUACGUUCCCGGGCCUU
rnacentral:rRNA from 1 species